AACGAACGCUGGCGGCAUGCCUAACACAUGCAAGUCGAACGAGACCUUCGGGUCUAGUGGCGCACGGGUGCGUAACGCGUGGGAAGCUGCCCUUAGGUUCGGAAUAACUCCCCGAAAGGGGUGCUAAUACCGGUUAAUGUCUUCGGACCAAAGAUUUAUUGCUUUUGGAUGGGCGCGCGUAGGAUUAGCUAGUUGGUAGGGUAAAAGCCUACCAAGGAGACGAUCCAUAGCUGGUCUGUGAGGAUGCUUAGCCACACUGGGACUGAGACACGGCCCCGACUCCUACGCGACGCAGCAGUGUAGAAUAUUGGGCGAUGGGCGAUAGCCUGAUCCAGCAAUGCCGCGUGAGUGAUGAAGGCCUUAGGGUUGUAAAGCUCUUUUAGCCGGGAUGAUAAUGACAGUACCGGGAGAAUAAGCUCCGGCUAACUCCGUG
rnacentral:rRNA from 1 species